UACGUAGGGGGCGAGCGUUAUCCGGAAUUACUGGGCGUAAAGCGCACGCAGGCGGUUCGCCAAGUUUGGAGUGACAGUUGUCGGCUCAACCGACAAAGGACUUCAAAAACUGGUGAGCUUGAGGACGAGAGAGGAACAUGGAACUCCAGGUGUAGUAGUGAAAUGCGUAGAUAUCUGGAAGAACACCAAUGGCGAAGGCAAUGUUCUGGCUCGUUUCUGACGCUCAGGUGCGAAAGCCAGGGGAGCGAACGGG
rnacentral:rRNA from 1 species